rnacentral:rRNA from 1 species
UGAUGGAUGGACCCGCGGUGCAUUAGCUAGUUGGUGAGGUAACGGCUCACCAAGGCCACGAUGCAUAGCCGACCUGAGAGGGUGAUCGGCCACAUUGGGACUGAGACACGGCCCAAACUCCUACGGGAGGCAGCAGUAGGGAAUCUUCGGCAAUGGACGAAAGUCUGACCGAGCAACGCCGCGUGAGUGAAGAAGGUUUUCGGAUCGUAAAACUCUGUUGUUAGAGAAGAACAAGGAUGAGAGUAACUGUUCAUCCCUUGACGGUAUCUAACCAGAAAGCCACGGCUAACUACGUGCCAGCAGCCGCGGUAAUACGUAGGUGGCAAGCGUUGUCCGGAUUUAUUGGGCGUAAAGCGAGCGCAGGCGGUUUCUUAAGUCUGAUGUGAAAGCCCCCGGCUCAACCGGGGAGGGUCAU